CCUCAAGUUAAGUGACGGGAUUCCCAAAACUUAACUUGCUCAAAACUUCUUGAAAGUUCUUUGCCGAUACGGCCUUGGUCAAGAUAUCAGCUAGUUGAUCUUCGGAUUUCACAUAUGGGAUUUCCACUAUCUUUUCUUCAAGAGUAGCUUGCAAGUCUUCUGUGAUUCAAGGUUUAAUUCCUUCAUUACCCUUCUAAGCCAAAGGAUUUCGGUGAGCCCACUUUUAAUGCCUCGGAAUUCAGCUUCUGCACUCGACAGAGCCACCACUUUCUGCUUCUUGCUUCUCCAAGUGACCAAAUUGCCACCCACAAAAGUGAAGUACCUUCCUGUCGAUUGUCUAUCAAUCGGCAAUCUGCAUCAGUGUAUCCAUGAAUGUCGAGAUGUCCAUUUUUUUGGAAUAGUAUUCCAUGUCCGGCGGUUCCCUUCAGAUAUCGCACUACCCUGAGUGCUGCCUCCCAAUGUUCUUCUUGUGGAUUAUGCAUAAACUGACUAAGCACCCCAACUGCAUAUGCAAUAUCAGGCCGAGUGUGAGAUAGAUAAAUGAGUUUUCCCACUAGUCUCUGGUAUCUCCCCCGAUCAGUUGACGCUGCUCCUUUGAUUAUUUGAAGUCCGUGAUUCUGCAGGCUUGCACUCGAGCAUUCCUAUUUCCGUCAAGAGGUCGAGAACGUACUUGCGUUGACUAAUGAAGAUUCCUUUUCCAGAUCUAAGCACCUCGAUCCCAAGAAAGUAUUUGAGGUCUCCUAGAUUCUUCAUCUCGAACUCCGUAGCCAAUUGCCCCUUUAGGUCGUUUAUUUUCUCAGUAUCAUCCCCUGUAAUGAUCAUAUCAUCCACGUAAAUUAUCAGACAAGUGAUCUUUUCUCCUCUUCGUUUGAUGAACAGUGUGUGAUCAGAGUUACUCUGCUGAUAGCCGUAUCAUUUCAUCACAUCCGUGAAUCUCCCGAACCAAGCUCUCGGGGACUGCUUCAACCCAUAUAGAGUCUUCUUUAACUUGCACACCUUAUUCUGUCCAAAUUCCUCUUUGAAGCCUGGUGGGGCCUCCAUAUAGAUAGGAUCCUUCAAUUCUCCAUGAAGGAAGGCAUUGGUGACGUCAUACUGAUGAAGUGGCCAAUCCCUGUUUGCUGCAACGGACAGUAAUACUCUUAUCGUGUUCAUUUUUGCGAUUGGGGAGAACGUCUCUGAAUAAUCUACUCCCUGAGUUUGCGUAUAUCCUUUCGCCACUAACCGAGCCUUGUAUCGCUCAAAACUCCCAUUUGGUCUCCGUUUAAUUGUGAAGACCCACCUACACCCCACUGUAUGUUUCCCAUCAGGCAAAGGGCCUACCUCCCAAGUACCGUUUCGCUUUAGUGCUCUCAUCUCGACGAGCAUUGCCUCCCUCCAGUCCUUGCUUUUGGAGGCUUUUUCAAAGGUUCUAGGAAUCUCUUCUUCACAUAGUGCUGUAUGGAAUGCCCUUGCCAUUUUGGACAUGUUAGCUUCAGCAAAGUUGGCCACCGAGUAUCUACUUCUCCUCCCUAUUCGUUCCGGGGAGUAUUUCUUGGGUGGAAUUCCUCUCGUACUCCGUGGAGGAAGCACGUAUUGUCCUGUGUCCUGAUCAAUAGACGGAUCUUCUUCCUCUUCUACUUCUAUACCAGGUGAGUCAGGAAUAUAAUCUGAACUUUCAUAAUUCGGACUAGAAAUUACCUCGGAUUCAGUCACGGUUGGAUCAGAGGGUCACGGCGGAAGCGUCGUCAGGACUAUGGUCUCAGCAGACGGCGCCGGCCACAGUGCAAGCUUGUUCUGUUGGAUCCGAAUCAAAGUUACUUGGCACAUACCACCGAAGGGAGUCAUUUUCUUGGGUCUCCCCCUAUCUUACACUCUCCCCCUGAGUCCCAAGGUGGUAGCAGAAUUCGGUUUCAAGGAAGUUACAGUUCAUGGUGGUAAUAACCCGUUUGGUUUUGGGGUCAUAACAUCGAUAGCCCUUCUGGUUAAUCCCAUACCCCAUAAAAACGCACUUAAUUGCACACGGGGAAAAUUUAUUUCGCUCGUGUUUGGGAAUGUGGACAUAGACAGAACACCCAAAGGUUUUAGGUGGUAAGAAUAAGGCUGAUGGAAUUUUGGUUAAGGUGGAAAGGUGAUCUAGAGGGGUUUUCCGAUUCAGUAUUUUAGUGGGAAGUCGAUUGAGAAGGUAAACUGAGGUAGCGACUGCUUCAGGCCAAAAGGUUGGAGGUACUUUUGAGUCAAAUAGGAGGGCUUGGGUCAUUUCAAGGAUGAUUCGAUUUUUCCGUUCUGCUACCCCGUUUUGCUCUGGUGUGUGUGAAUAGGAAGUUUGGUGUACUAACCCAUUUUCGUCAAAAAUUUUUGUCAUAGAACUGUUUAGAAAUUCCCCCCCAUUGUCUGAUCUUAGGAUUUUGACAGACGUCUGAAAUUGAGUUUGAACCAUUUUAUAAAACAGGACGAAUUUGUCAUAUACUUCAGAUUUAUGUUUCAUGAAAUAAACCCAAGUAGUUCUACUGCAAUCUUCAACAAAUAUCACAAAGUAUUUAAAGCAAAAAUAGUUCCUAUAGGCGAUGGGCCCCACACAUUAGAAUGAAUCAGGGAAAAAAACAGUGUCAACACGAGUAUCAUUUGGUUUAAACGAGUUUCGGUGGCUCUUGGCCAAAACACAUGCUUCACAAGAGAAGUUCUUUGGAACAAAAAGAUUAGGAAAUAUGGAUUUUAAAUAACCCGGAGAGGUAUGGCCCAUCCGACGGUGCUAGAGCCAAGUAUCUUGAUUAGUGGAUCCGUGAGCAAGCAUCGCCUCACCAUCUCGUCGAGCAACCUCAUCCACAAAGUACAGCCCACGACGCUCAGUGCCACGCCCAAUAAUCUUCCCCGUCCGGAUAUCCUGUAACAUACAGAAGUUUGGGUGCAUCAACAGGGAACAAUUUAAAUUCUUAGUCACAUGACUAAUUGACAUUAACUUCUGAGAUAAUCUAGGCACAUAGAGGCAAUUAGGAAUAUGAACAUUUGGAAAAAUUUCUAUAGUUCCCGCUCCUUCUACUGGUGUUACUCCUCCACUUGCUGUUUUUAUAUGCGACUUAGGAGUCUUAUGAAUUUCCAAAAAAUCAUUCAUGUCGUAUGACAUAGUGUCGGUCGCCCCCACAGUCAAAAAUCCACCCCGUGUCAUUAACAAUAUCACAAUCCUUGGCUUCAAAUGCAUAUGAUAGAUUUUCUAAGGGUGCAAAUGAGUUUUUGCAGAUAAUGGGGGUAGUUUUACAAUUAUCAGUCACCUGGGGGCGAUUUCUACUAUAAUUAUCAGGAUGGGGUCUGUUUCCAUAAUAUUCAGAAUCUAGGGGCUUAAUUGAAAAAGGGAUUUUACUAGGGUUAGGGAUUUCGAUCCCCAACCCUUUAUCUGUGUCCCCUCCGCCUCUAUCUAGUCGGAGCGAUGCCACCAUGGCUGCCGUCUUCACCCCACCACCUCCGUCGCCGCGCCUGCCACCGCCGGUUGGGAGACCGCCGUUGUCUGGUCCUUUCUCCUGGAACCCGGUAGUUUCUCGGUUUCCUGCGUUCUGAUUUCUUCCUCCAGUCUCGGUUCCGAUGGCAACUUUCGCCUUCCCGGUUUUGUCUUCUUCCCACCAUUCCGGGUAUCCCACCAAUUGAAAGCACGUCUCCUUUGUGUGUUUGUGCAUUCCACAGUGCGAACACCAGAGUUUGGGCUUGUCUGGUUUGCCGUUUCCCCAGCGGUUGGUGGCGGAGCGUGAUGUAGGUGGCUGACCCCUGUUCUGCGGCUGUGAUGGGCGGUAUUCUAGGGCUCCAAAUCCAAAUCCGACCCCCCCGAUGAUGUUUCGUUACCGACUGCGAUGGAGUGCGAAUCGGACUCCGAUGACAUGACUUUAAGUCGAGCUGCCUCCCGUUUCACCCAUCCAUACGCUACGUCGGCUGAGGGGUAUGGCUCCUCUUUGAGGAUCUCGCGUCGGAUCCAGUCAUAUUUCUCAUUCAGUCCGGUGAGAAAUUUAAAUAAUCGCAGUUCCGAUUUGAUUUCUCGGUAUUGCUCGACUCCUUUGUCGCAACAAUUGACUGUUUUGUGUGAACACCGAUCGAUGUCGAUCCAAAGUCCGUGUAGUCGGCUCUAGUAGGCUUCCAGCAUUGAGUCCCCUUGUAAUAUCUUGCUUGCCUUGUCUCGCAGGUCGUAUAUCAGAUACGAGUCCGAUGAACUCGCAAAUGUGACAGCGAGUGUGUCCCAUAGCGACUUCGCCGUCUGAUGAUGUGCGAAAUCCGCUAUGAGAUUGGUUUCCAUGUUGUCAAUAAUCCACGGAAAGACUAUUAAGUCUAUUUCUUCCCAAUCGGUAAAUCCGACUUCGCCCGGUUGUGGUGGUGACGGUACUCCAGAAAUAUGGCGGUAGACUCCUCGGCCGCCAAUGGACACCUUCAUUAAUCGUGCCCAUAGUGAGUAGUUUGAGCCGUUCAAUUUGAAGGCUAUGGUAACACUCUUACUCGAUCUAAUCUUUUCGGCAAUGGGUUCGAUUUGGGGUUUUUCUGGCUUGUCUUCUGCCAUUUUCAGGCUGGCUGUUUCUUCUCGCCGUUUCGGUCGAGAGAGGUAUAUUUUAGGGGGCUAUGAUGAUAGUUUUCUGAGCCUAACCUGCUCGGAUGCCAUGUAGAAUUGUAUAACUGUUAUAUUGAUUUAUUCACAAUGAGAUUAUACAUCAUAUAUAGGCUAAGGAACAUAUUACAUAUGGUAAGAUUCUACCAAUCAAAUCUCCUAAUUAAUCGCCUAAAUAUUUUCUUCAAUCUCUUCCUAAUCUUAUGCAAUCUUCUCUAUUUUGCAGGAUAUUCUCUUUGAUCUCCGACAGUGGGUUCCCGAGCUAAGGCACUACACCCGGAACAUACCAAUAGUUCUUGUGGGAACUAAAUCGGAUUUGAGAGAAGAUAAACAAUAUGUUGGUGAUCAUUCUGGUGCAGUAGCUAUUACAAGAGA